ensembl:misc_RNA
ACAGCAGCCAUGGAAAAUGAAAGCUUUCAGUUUAUCCACAGAACACAUACAGCAUGGGCAGUAGCUGUGCAAGCCUCAAGCUUCCUCACACUGCCUCCUAUAAACUUGAUCCAACUUGACAGAGAGACCUCAAGGAAGUGUGAGAGAUCAGUUCCACCCCAAUCAGGUGUGCUUGAUUGU